rnacentral:misc_RNA from 1 species
CAUAAUCUCAAUUCAAUGGACAAUCGCAAAAGCAUUGAGCUGGCAGUGUCAUUGGCCGGGGACCCUUCACAUAUGUACUAUCUAUGUACUACCUAGCUUUACCCAUCCGAAAAACGGCGUAAAGGAGCGAACAUACAGGUCAACGUGAAAUGCUGAUCGACAGUACGGACCUAACCUAACUUUUCUUGGACUCGGGUUUUUUCAUUCAUCGUUCACAAAAAUUUUGGAGGCAAGAAUUUUCACUUCGGCGGACUGAUUUUCUAAAAGUUCGAUUGGUGACACUCUGAGAGUUUUCCACCUACGCCUCCGAAAUAAGAAUCAGAAAACUAGACGACGAUGAUAUUCUGUCUAACUGAAAAUCUUGUACAUGAGCACAUAUAAAUAAUUAAAGGUAAAUAAUGACAACCCUUUCCUCGUAUUUAUAAAAUCAAAUAAUAAUUUCUCAAUACUCUCUAGGCGAUUUAGGUUUUGCCUUUGAAAUUCAGCUGGCAAUUCCAGUGUGAAUACAUACUGCUACUUUUCGACUAUGGAACACGCAGGCGCACAUACUCGUACUACCGACGUAUAAACAUGUACACAGAACGCUUGGACCGAAGCAAGUAUUAAGCAGUGGAAUAUAGAUAAGGAUACUAUAUUUACUAUACGACGCUUUUUCGCUCGGCUAGAUUUGGCAGUACAUAGGCGCACACAAGUUAACAUAUUAUAUAAAAUGCUUGAUAAAGAAGAGUGGAGGGGCUACGAAGGAACGCACAAAAUAGAGACGAAAAGAAUAGAAAACACCGUAUUUCUAUAUUCUAUCUCGUUUUUUCGUUUUAUCGAGCUUCAAGUCACAUCCGUUUCAAGAAUGUUCACCUCAAAAGUGUUCAAGAAUUUAACCCUUAAUGGUCAUAUGGGGUGAAUUUCACUCCAGCCUUUUAUCGAAGGGCCCGUUAGUUCAGUUUUGAAAGCCGUGGAACUAAGGUCUUGUAAAAAUCUGGGGUGCCUAAAGUGUAAAAAAAAAGUUUCGAAGCACAUUAAAAUUUUUUUUUUCAAUAUUCUGCUACAAUAGGUAAAAAAAGUUAUUUUGAAAUCAGGGGUUUUUUUCCAAAAUUACUUACUAAAUUAUAAAAUUGCAAAUAAUGGCAUAUAAUCUGAGAUCAAUUUUAUUUUUUUUUUUUACAGUUUAUUAAGUUUUUUUCCAAAGUGAGUGGGGUGGAUUAUACCCCCAAUGACUAUUACGUCACAAUUCGAAGGUGUGACUACUAAAGCCGUACAUAACAUAUGUUGAAAAUUAUUGACUAUUGUGCUCUUUUUGUUACAUAUUUAUCGGAUCACAUACAUGAGAUCUCGAUACUGUAUGAAGCAACAACAUUGAUUUUUUUCGUUUCAGCACGAUAAAACUAAAUAUCUGCCAGCAUUAUAUCUCAGACGUUAACGAUUCGUGCUAAUUUUGAAAGUUCAGUUAGAACUUCGUUCAUCCAGUUUGUAGGGUUGCAGCAGUCGUGUCUCUGUUGAUUUCGUCGUGAAAAUGUGAUUUUCUCGAUUCACGAUCACGAAACUACAAAUAUUAUUCAAGGAUCGGGUAAACGAUACUUCAUUGAGUGCAUAUUGAAACAUAAACGUUCGCGACCGAUCGAGCCUAAAGCGUCGUCUCUUUUCGAUCGUGAAUAUCAAGCCGCUAAUCCUAUUUUCUUAAAUUUACUUUUUUCCGAUGCAUUGAUGCACUGGGUAUCGAGCGUUACGACGACGCUCCAAUUUCCAAGCCCGUAGUCAGUAAAUUACCUAACCUCGUAGACUCCUAGCGUGUUGGAGAGGUUUAGUGACGUUUCGAUCCUGAAGCUCGAGAGUCCUUUCCAGAGAAGUUUUCCAACUUCAAUUUUACUAUUUUUUCUCAUACUUGCAAACAGGAAAGUUUGUUUUUGUAUGUAGCUUUAUUUAAAAUUAAUUUCUGUUAAUUAAUCCCUUUUGAAUUGUCAACAUUUUUUUCCAUUUCUAUCAUAUAAAUAUUGAAAUAUGCCAAGAGCAAAGCAAAAGUCUUGUACAGAAAACCUUUUUAAUUUGAAUAAAUUUGUUUUAGCAAUUCUCUGACUAAUCCCGCGCUCUUACAUUGCUUUUAUCCAAGCCCCUUUAAUAUUAGAAAGUUCGAACCGAUACGUAUCAAGGUUCAGGUCGUUUCGUUCCCAUCAUCAAUUUGUAUUGAAAGAUUUCGAGUAUUGUGAACAAUUGUACGAUGACUGAAAAAAAUGACCCCCACUGUCAUAGCAGGAUCUUGGUAAAGCGUUAUCUUUACUAAAAUAAAAAUUAAUAGUGAGACAAUUUCAAUUCCUCCGAAUGUAGUAAUCAUUUUGCGUGGCCGUGUUUUUAAAUUUUUUUCAUGAAGUAACGUUGGCUUAAUUUUUUUUUUUAAUAAUAAUUAUUGAUAUUUAAAAAAUGAGGCACCAAAACACAACAGUUGAUACUGUUCCGAUCUGGGGUGCUGCAGAUUGAUCGAGCGCAAAAAAUAGGAAGUUAAUAAUUUUUCGCGAAAUUUGUCAACAUUUUUUGAUUGAGCCCAUUUUCAUUCCAAUGGGAUCUGGAAGACCCGAUUUACAGCAGAAUUUGUGAAAAAAUGCGAAAAAAUCGAGGCCAAGUUGAAAAGUUGUGUUUCUGAGAAAUCGGUAAAUAACUAAGAUUGUACCCAGAAUAUAGUCUGUUGUCAUAAAAUAAACUACUUCCUCAUUCAAUUUUCCCUUAUAUCAUAUAUUAUAUUUAAUUAUAUUAUGAAAACACUCGAAUUGUAUACACCUGAGUGUUCACUCGAAUAUUGAUGAUUUGGAAUUUUUUGUAUUACAAAAUUUGAAACGUUUGUAUUCUACAAGGAAAUAAAAGAAAAAACAUCAUUUUU